rnacentral:lncRNA from 1 species
UUCAACGAAAAAAAGGCUUUCUUUUCCAAGUUCUCUCGGCGCAUGUUAAGCAAACGUGCGCCGUCUUCGCCAUGACUAGUAAGAAAGCUCGUGGAUGUCCUAGAAAGUAGCAAAUUCGUGUAGAUGACAAAAUACUUAAGCUCAACGCCAUGGAAAGGAGCUCAACAAAGUUUAUGGAAACCAUUUCUGGACCAUCGAAGGUGACUACUGGAUCUGUUUCUCUAACACAAAUCUACCAUGGAGAAGCUUCAGGACCAGCUACACAGCAGCAGAAACAAGCAAAUCAGAGUCCAAUCCCUAUGCAUGUUGAUUUACGAGGAAGUAUCACACCCCCUGCAGUUCGAGAAGUUACUGUUCCAUUGAGCAAAGAGUAGGAAGAUACAGCUAAUGCACAAGCUGGAAUUACUGUUCCAUUGGUGAACAAGGGGCAAAACCAAGUUGUUUCCACAGAGUCUACUUAGGCUAAAGUACUCACAGGCAAUAGAUCUGCAGCAAAUGGUAUGACAUUGAAUUAUAUUACUCCUGAUAUUAUAGAAGGAAAUCUAGUAGCUAAGCUUGAAAAGUCAAAAUUGAGCUGGAAAAUCUGAAAUGGAAGAGUGCCUUAAUAGUCUAUGUUUUGGGUGAAAAACCAGGCUACAACUAUAUGAAAAGGUACAUAAAUCAUAUGUGGAACACAGUUGCUAUGCCAGAUUUGUUUUAUUAUGAUGAAGGGUAUUAUAUUGUGAGAUUUCAAACAUUAGAGGAUACAGUGAAUAAUAGACCAAUGAUAAUGAAAUGCUGGUCUCCUUACUUUGAUUUUGCAGCAGAAUUCAUGACAGACAUUCCAUUAUGGGUAAGGUUUCCAAAACUUCCCAUGAAUUGUGGAGUGAGAACUCACUGAGUAGAAUAGCAAGCACAAUAGGGAUUCCUGUGUUUGCAGAUGAGUGUACUACCAAAUAGAUAAGAAUUUCCUAUGCUAGAAUCCUAAUAGAAGUGAAUGUUACAAAGCCUUUUCCAACUAGCAUUCCCGUCAUGAAUGACGAGGGGUGAUUUUUGAGCAAGCAUUUAAAUUUGAUUGGAAACCGGAGUUCUGUGACAAAUGCUUAAAAGCAGGACAUAAUUGUAGUAGAAUUCCAAAGGAAGGUGACAAACAAAUUCCCCAGCCCAGGAAAAGGAAGCCACCACCAGUAAAACAAAUAUGGAGGACUAAGGUGCCAGAAAUAGUUACAACUGAUGAAAUGAGCCAAAAACAAGUGGAAGAAGCUAGCAAGGAAGAUGUGAGUACCUCUAAGCCAACAGAAGAUAAGGAAGAUCAUCAGCAAGAAGAGGAAGCAGUAGAAGUAAGCAUGCAAGUAGAUAAAGGGAAAAUGAAUGCAGUGACUAAUGACACUCCAAUUACCUAUGCCAAAGCUAUAAUGUCUCCAGUGAAAUAAAGAUCUCAAACAUUCCCGAGUGCAGCUGUGAUAGCAACCUUGAAACCACCUAAUAUAGGUGGUCAUUCUCAAUUUUGA